rnacentral:rRNA from 1 species
AGGCACGAAAGCGUGGGUAGCGAACGGGAUUAGAUACCCCGGUAGUCCACGCUGUAAACGAUGUGAACGAGGUGUGGGCAGUGUAGAAGCCGUCUGUGCCGGAGCAAACGCGAUAAGUUCACCGCCUGGGGAGUACGGUCGCAAGGCUAAAACCCAAAGGAAUUGACGGGGGCCCGCACAAGCAGCGGAGCGUGUGGUUUAAUUCGAUGCAACGCGAAGAACCUUACCUGGGCUUGACAUGUACGUAGUAGUGAAGGGAAACCGGAACGAGCCUUCGGGCAGCGUAGACAGGUGCUGCAUGGCUGUCGUCAGCUCGUGUCGUGAGAUGUUGGGUUAAGUCCCGCAACGAGCGCAACCCGUGUUGCUAGUUACAAGUGUCUAGCGAGACUGCCGGUAACAAGCCGGAGGAAGGUGCGGAUGAUGUCAAGUCAGCAUGGCCUAUAUGUCCAGGGCUACACACACGCUACAAUGGCUGGUACAAAGAGAAGCGAAAGGGAGACCUGAAGCGAAUCUCAUCAAAGCCAGUCAUAGUUCGGAUUGCAGGCUGCAACUCGCCUGCAUGAAGUCGGAGUUGCUAGUAACCGCAGGUCAGCAAUACUGCGGUGAAUACGUUCCCGGGCCUUGUACACAC